UGGAAAUGUAUAUGGGAGUUUCUUCAGAGUUUCGACUUUCGGAGAAUCUCAUGGGGGUGGUGUUGGUUGUACCAUCGAUGGAUGUCCUCCUCGUCUUCCUCUUUCCGAAGAAGAUAUGCAAGUAGAGCUCGACAGAAGGAGGCCAGGUCAGAGCCGGAUUACUACUCCACGGAAGGAGACUGACACAUGCCUAAUUCAAUCAGGGAUAUCUGAAGGAAUGACUACGGGAACUCCUAUCCAAGUUUUCGUACCAAAUACAGAUCAAAGAGGACAUGACUACAAGGAAAUGUCAGCGGCAUAUAGACCUUCUCAUGCAGAUUUAACUUAUGAUGCUAAAUAUGGUUUAAGAUCAGUGCAGGGAGGUGGCAGAUCAUCUGCAA
rnacentral:misc_RNA from 1 species